rnacentral:lncRNA from 1 species
GUUUACUAAACGGCUCAAUAUUUGUCACAAUUCUUGCCAGCUCCCUUUUGCUCUGUUUAUCCUGUACUGGUUCCUGGCUCAGUUUGGGGCUGAGGACACAACCCUGGAUGUGGGACCUCUGAGUGUCCAUUGUGGACUCAGAGAGGGUGGAUAAAUGAUGCUCUCAUCAACUGCUUCUCCUUUGCUACCUUCUCACUUCGUUCCCCAUGUCUGCACCGAGCUCCUUUCAGUAGGAAGAGAGUUGGGAAAUGAUGCAAUCCCUGUCCUGUCCUGUCCGCCCAUCCAAAAAUGUUGAGUGUAUCUAUGGCAAAAUGAUGCUGGUUUCAAUGAGCUAAAGUGAAAAGGAUAGAUGCUGGUUCGUUAUCUCUAAUUGCCUCACUUUGCAGCCCAGUCCUAGGCUAUCCAAUUGAGUAGACAGUACUUCUCUGUUUGGGGCUCUUUGGUCUUACAGUAAUCUUCUCGGAAUAGAACUUCUACGAUUCUUUCUCUGAAAUAAUAAGGUUUAAGGCCACAUCUGUGAAGAUAUAGCAGAUAGCUCAUUUCAACAGGAAUUGUACGUGAAGGGCCUUUAAAAAUCUCUUCCUGAAGGUCUGCUAAUGAAACAGCCCUGAGAUCUCAAGGGCCAGGGAGAGAAACAGGUGAUAAACAUAACACAGCUGAUAACAUUGAGGAUUCAAAGUGAUCCUCAAUUAGUGGGGCACCAGGUGUUCCAAAGGAGCUACAUAAAAGACGAUGUGGAAAGAGAAGGAGAGGGAGGGUGUUGGAGAGUGUGCUUCUGGUUUGCUGAGGCUGGAGAUCUGCUUUGGAGCAGGAGCUUGCCUCUCCAGCGAGGACUCACCACUUGGCUUGGCACUAUGGAAGCACUCUCAGCAGCUGCAAUACUGAAGAAGAUCCUCCAUCUCUUUUGCCAGAUCGGUUGGGCUACGUUCAACAACAAGCUGAAGGAGAAAAACUCUUCAGUGUCCUUCUAUUCCCGUUUCUCAGUGAGGUGUACUUUCUCCUUGCUGUGCUAGAACUACAAAU